rnacentral:misc_RNA from 1 species
UUGUACAAAUUCAAAUUCAAAUUCAAAAUAUUUUAUUCAGCAUAAAAUUAUUACAAUUUCUUACUGAACGUCAUGAGUCUACUACCAGUUCGGAAAGAAGAAGCCUCUGACCUGAGAAGAACUGGCGGAAGAAACUCAGCGGGACUAAUAUCAUAUUUUUUUUUUUUUUACAGUAAUGUUUUUUUUUUUUUUUUUUUUUUUUUUUUUUUUUUUUUUUUUUUUUUUUUUUUUUUUUUUUUUUACAAAAAUAUAUUAAACGAAUUAAGACAU